rnacentral:rRNA from 1 species
GCGGUGGAGCAUGUGGUUUAAUUNGAAGCAACGCGAAGANCCUUACCAAAUCUUGACAUCNUNUGACCCCUCUAGAGAUAGAGUUUUCCCCNUUCGGGGGACAGAGUGACAGGUGGUGCAUGGUUGUCGUCAGCUCGUGUCGUGAGAUGUUGGGUUAAGUCCCGCAACGAGCGCAACCCUUAAGCUUAGUUGCCAUCAUUAAGUUGGGCACUCUAAGUUGACUGCCGGUGACAAACCGGAGGAAGGUGGGGAUGACGUCAAAUCAUCAUGCCCCUUAUGAUUUGGGCUACACACGUGCUACAAUGGACAAUACAAAGGGUAGCGAAACCGCGAGGUCAAGCAAAUCCCAUAAAGUUGUUCUCAGUUCGGAUUGUAGUCUGCAACUCGACUAUAUGAAGCUGGAAUCGCUAGUAAUCGUAGAUCAGCAUGCUACGGUGAAUACGUUCNNNNGUCUUGUACACNCCGCCCGUCACACCACGAGAGUUUGUAACACCCGAAGCC